UACAGAGGUCCCAAGCGUUGUUCGGAUUCACUGGGCGUAAAGGGCGUGUAGGCGGUCAAGUAAGUGGAAUGUGAAAUCCCCCGGCUUACCCGGGGACCGGCAUCCCAUACUGCUUGGCUUGAGUACGGGAGAGGAUGUGGGAAUUCCUGGUGUAGCGGUGAAAUGCGUAGAUAUCAGGAGGAACACCGGUGGCGAAGGCGCACAUCUGGCCCGAUACUGACGCUGAAGCGCGAAAGCUAGGGGAGCAAACGGG
rnacentral:rRNA from 1 species